rnacentral:rRNA from 1 species
CAGUAGCGUAUAUUUAAGUUGCUGCAGUUAAAAAGCUCGUAGUUGGAUUUCGGGUGGGAAUGGCCGGUCCGCCGUUUCGGUGUGCACUUGCUACGCCCACCUUGCUGCCGGGGACGUGCUCUUGAGUUCACGCUCGGGACACGGAGUCGGCGAGGUUACUUUGAGUAAAUUAGAGUGUUCAAAGCAGGCCUACGCUCUGAAUACAUUAGCAUGGAAUAACACGAUAGGACUCUGGCCUAUCUUGUUGGUCUGUAGGACCGGAGUAAUGAUUAAGAGGGACAGUCGGGGGCAUUCGUAUUUCAUUGUCAGAGGUGAAAUUCUUGGAUUUAUGAAAGACGAACUACUGCGAAAGCAUUUGCCAAGGAUGUUUUCAUUAA